rnacentral:rRNA from 1 species
CCUACGGGAGGCAGCAGUGAGGAAUCUUGGUCAAUGGGCGCGAGCCUGAACAAGCCAAGUAGCGUGAAGGAUGACUGCCCUACGGGUUGUAAACUUCUUUUAUAAAGGAAUAAAGUGAGGCACGUGUGCCUUUUUGUAUGUACUUUAUGAAUAAGGAUCGGCUAACUACGUGCCAGCAGCAGCCGUAAUACGGAGGAUCCGAGCGUUAUCCGGAUUCAUUGGGUUGAAAGGGAGCGUAGAUGGGUUGUUAAGUCAGGUGUGAAAGGUGGCGGCUCAACCGGAAAAUUGCAAAUGAUACUGGCAGUCUUGAGUACAGUUGAGGGAAGCGGAAUGCGUGGUGUAGCAGUGAAAUGCGUAGAUAUCACGAAGAACUCUGAUUGCGAAGGCAGCUUACUAAACAGCCACUGACGUUGAUGCUCGAAAGUGUGUGUAGCAAACGGGAUUAGAUACCCGAGUAGUC